rnacentral:rRNA from 2 species
ACGAAAAAUAACGAUACGGGACUCAUCCGAGGCCCCGUAAUCGGAAUGAGUACACUUUAAACCCUUUAACGAGGAUCAAUUGGAGGGCAAGUCUGGUGCCAGCAGCCGCGGUAAUUCCAGUUCCAAUAGCGUAUAUUAAAGUUGUUGCGGUUAAAAAGCUCGUAGUCGAAUUUGUGUCCCGCGCCGCCGGUUCAUCGCUCGCGGUGUCAACUGGCGUGUCCGCGGGACGUCCUGCCGGUGGGCUAAGUCCUUUAGGGGGCUGCCCAAUCUCAAUCCCACCGCGGUGCUCUUCACUGAGUGUCGAGGUGGGCCGGCACGUUUACUUUGAACAAAUUAGAGUGCUUAAAGCAGGCUAAAACAUCGCCUGAAUACUGUGUGCAUGGAAUAAUGGAAUAGGACCUCGGUUCUAUUUUGUUGGUUUUCGGAACCCCGAGGUAAUGAUUAAUAGGAACGGAUGGGGGCAUUCGUAUUGCGACGUGAGAGGUGAAAUUCUUGGAUCGUCGCAGGACGGACAGAAGCGAAAGCAUUUGCCAAAAACGCUUUCAUUGAUCAAGAACGAAAGUUAGAGGUUCGAAGGCGAUCAGAUACCGCCCUAGUUCUAACCAUAAACGAUGCCAGCUAGCGAUCCGCCGACGUUCCUCCGAUGACUCGGCGGGCAGCUUCCGGGAAACCAAAGCUUUUGGGUUCCGGGGGAAGUAUGGUUGCAAAGCUGAAACUUAAAGGAAUUGACGGAAGGGCACCACAAGGAGUGGAGCCUGCGGCUUAAUUUGACUCAACACGGGAAACCUCACCAGGCCCGGACACCGGAAGGAUUGACAGAUUGAGAGC